GCAAAGGUAGCAUAGUCAUUAGUUCUUUAAUUGUGAUCUGGUAUGAAUGGCUUGACGAGGCAUGGGCUGUCUUAAUUUUUAAUUGUUUAUUGAAUUUGGUCUUUGAGUUAAAAUUCUUAGAUGUUUUUAUGGGACGAGAAGACCCUAUAGAGUUUAACAUUUGUUAUGGUCCCCUUUCUGUUUGUGAGGGUUCAUUGGGCCGUUUAAUAUGUUUUGUUGGGGUGAUGGGAGGGAUUAAUUUAACCCCUCCUUUUUAUUAUUAUAUUUAUUUAUAUUUACUUGAUCCAUUUAUUUUGAUUGUAAGAUUAAAUUACCUUAGGGAUAACAGCGUUAUCUUCCUUGAGAGUUCUUAUCGGCAGGGGGGUUUGCG
rnacentral:rRNA from 1 species